rnacentral:lncRNA from 1 species
UCGAAAUAUAGAAAUAUGUACAAUGUACACUCCUGCACUUAUUUAUAAUUAAUUUUUUUUCUUCUAAAAAAAUUAAGCCAGGCAAACAAUUGUCUUUUUUUUUUUACUCAUGUUUUAUACUUUUGUUUCAAUUUGCUUCAUUUUGUUCUAUUUUAUCUUUUUUUUUUAUUUACCAUUAAAAUUAGAUAGUUUGUAUAUAUAGAAUUAUAAUUUUUAUUUUUACUUUAUUUUAUUUUUUUUUCAUUUGUUAUUCUUAAUACAUUUAAACUGUGCUCAUACAUUUUUAUUUGUUUUAAAAAAAUAUGCUUGAAAAGUAAUAUAUAAAUAAAGGAUUACAACAAAAAUAUUAAUUAUUUUCAAAAUAGACUGAUGAACGAGAUGGGCUUAAAUGGCGAUGUGGACAUUACAAAUUUGAUAAACGAAAGAGAUAGUUGGAUGAAGAAGUAUGAGCUAAUGGAAUCAGAAUAUUUAAGCCUAAAGGACAAAUUAAAAAAUGUGACGGAAAACAAUAGUAAUAAGAACAAAGUAGCAGAGGAUUAUGAGACUAUAGUAAAAGAUAUGUUCUUGAGAUAUAAAUAUAUGGUAUGAAAAAAUGUACACUAAUAUGGUUAUAUAUAUAUAUAUAUAU